GUUUUAUACAAAUGGGCAUUUGAAUAAGUUGUUUUGUUGUUACUGUUUUUAGUUCUUGAAGGAACAACAAUCACCCAAUCAUCGGACUUUCAAUCUCGUUGCCGGAGUUUCAGUUUUCCUGUUGCCGACGUUUCAUAAAACGGUAGCAAGUUGUCCGAUCUUGAAGGAAUCAGAACCUCCGGCCAACCAAUCGACGAUCACAUAAUCGAUGGUGUCCUCCCACUUUCCACCGCCUCAUACUAGAAAUUGAAAAAGGCAUGUCAAAAGUCAUUGUUUUUUUUUAAUACCGAUAAAAAAAAUUUAUUGUUUAGAGGGGAGAUCCACCCUACGCCCAGCUGACGUGCUAGUUUUUGGUUGGGAGGGCGGGAAACAUACUUGUGUCGAUCUCACAGGUGUAUCCCCACUAGCCGGGUUCCAGAAAAAUGGGUUUGUGGCGGGGCAAGCGGUACUGAAAGCAGAGUCAAAGAAGGUGGAAAAGCACGUGAAAGCUUGUGAGGAUAAUCAGCAUGCCUUUGUCCCCCUGGCGUUUGACACGUUCGGCUCCUUGGCGCCGGAAGCAGUUCGGUUCUUGUCUAGAGUUCAGUGUGUGGUCCAUAGCAACUUUUCGACCCCUCAGGGGCUGGGCUUUGUUUUUAGUAGAUUAGGGUUUUCUAUUCAGAAAUGGAUAGGCUGGACUUUGUUUUUAGUAGAUUAGGGUUUUCUAUUCAGAAAUAGAUGACGGCGCAGUUUGUUGCACGUCUACCUGCUAUCCUUAUUUCAUUGUUUGAAACAUUGCAAAAGAUCAGGGAAAGUAUAUAUAUUUUUUCACUU
rnacentral:lncRNA from 1 species